AACCCAUGGUGAGGGCACCUUCUCAAUAAGUCCUUGUAUCUCUCCCAUGUAUCAUAAAGAGUUUUUAAAUCCGUCUGCACAAAACAAGAGAUAUCAUUCCUUAGUUU
rnacentral:snoRNA from 1 species